CAAUAGCGUAUAUUAAAGUUGUUGCAGUUAAAAAGCUCGUAGUCGGAUUUUGGCAUCACGCCGAACUGUCUGCCGAUUGGUAAGCACGGUUUGGCGGUUGCUUCCUUCCGGAGGCUCGUUUCCUUCUUAACUGAAGGGUUCGUAGGUUCCGGUUCUUUUACUUUGAGAAAAUUAGAGUGUUCAAAGCAGGCCUAUGCUCUGAAUAGGUUAGCAUGGAAUAAUGGAAUAGGACUUUGGUUCUAUUUUGUUGGUUUCUAGGACCGAAGUAAUGAUUAAUAGGGACAGUUGGGGGCAUUCAUAUUCCAUUGUCAGAGGUGAAAUUCUUGGAUUAACGGAAGAUGAACUUCUGCGAAAGCAUCUGCCAAGGAUGUUUUCAUUGA
rnacentral:rRNA from 1 species